CGGAAUCAGCUCGACAUCGUCGCCUUGUUGAUCUCGAAAAUGAGCAAACGCCAAAGAGAAAUGACGAAAGGCUCGCACUCGGCGUCUAAAACCGGG
rnacentral:sRNA from 17 species